rnacentral:rRNA from 1 species
CUAAUACCGGAUACGCACCAGAGCGGCAUCGUUACUGGUGGGAAAGAUUUAUUGGUUCGGGAUGGGCUCGCGGCCUAUCAGCUUGUUGGUGAGGUAACGGCUCACCAAGGCGUCGACGGGUAGCCGGCCUGAGAGGGUGACCGGCCACACUGGGACUGAGACACGGCCCAGACUCCUACGGGAGGCAGCAGUGGGGAAUAUUGCACAAUGGGCGCAAGCCUGAUGCAGCAACGCCGCGUGAGGGAUGACGGCCUUCGGGUUGUAAACCUCUUUUAGCAGGGAAGAAGCGAAAGUGACGGUACCUGCAGAAAAAGCGCCGGCUAACUACGUGCCAGCAGCCGCGGUAAUACGUAGGGCGCAAGCGUUAUCCGGAAUUAUUGGGCGUAAAGAGCUCGUAGGCGGUCUGUCGCGUCUGCUGUGAAAACCCGAGGCUCAACCUCGGGCCUGCAGUGGGUACGGGCAGACUAGAGUGCGGUAGGGGAGAUUGGAAUUCCUGGUGUAGCGGUGGAAUGCGCAGAUAUCAGGAGGAACACCGAUGGCGAAGGCAGAUCUCUGGGCCGUAACUGACGCUGAGGAGCGAAAGGGUGGGGAGCAAACAGGCUUAGAUACCCUGGUAGUCCACCCCGUAAACGUUGGGAACUAGUUGUGGGGGCCUUUCCACGGUCUCCGUGACGCAGCUAACGCAUUAAGUUCCCCGCCUGGGGAGUACGGCCGCAAGGCUAAAACUCAAAGGAAUUGACGGGGACCCGCACAAGCGGCGGAGCAUGCGGAUUAAUUCGAUGCAACGCGAAGAACCUUACCAAGGCUUGACAUAUAGAGGAAAGAUCUG